AAUUCGCAGCGGAUAGAAAUCAACCAACCACAAAACAUAUAAUGGUUUACAGGUAAAAAGGUUCAACAAUCAACAAUAAACAAUUAAAACAUCCCGUCCCGAUGUUACAUCUAUCAGAGCACGGCCCACUACGUAGACUACACUAGACUCCAUGCACUAGCUUCUACUCACUCACUGCUCGUUACCUGAAAAAUAGUUGUAAGGGUGAGUUCCUCAAUCGAUAUAAUAAGCAUUAUAAAUCAUCAUGUUAUGUUAAGUAAAUUUACACGUUAAUCACCCUAAUCAUAUCAUGCAUUCAGUAACGGCACAUCAACUCAAACAUCAUACUCAAUAACAACGUAAAAUGCAACUCAAUAACGACAUAAAUUGCAACUCAACAACAACAUAAAAUGCAACUCAAUAACGACAUAAAUUGCAACUCAACAACAACAUAAUGCAACUCAAAUGAGACUCGACUCGUCAUGCAUGUGUACCAUUCGGAGUAAAACUCCCAACUUAAAAUCAUUUCCAGUUUAGUGGGCAUCAAGGCAUAAGCCUUCAACUUUCAACUUAAAAUUUGCCAAUCCAGGCCAACGUGGUGUGAGCAAAGCUCCGAUUUUUGCCAAUCCAGGCCAACGUGGUGUGAGCAAAGCUCCGACUUAAUGCAUAUGAAUGUACAUGGCAUACACGACUUUAAAUUCCGACAACAUUAUAAUAACAGCAACACAACAAUGUUUUCAACAUAAUCAACUUAUAAUCAACGUUGGCUCAUCAAGCCUACAGCUCAGUAUUUUCAACAACUUAACACAACUUAUCAACAUAUUUAUAUCAACUCUUCAUAACAUAAACUCAACAAAAUUACUCAUCGAAAUCAACGAGAAUAUGCACAUCACCAUUAUGUUCACAACAUUAAAAUAUCAAAUUUUCCAAUUUCCAACAGUGUUAACCGGUUAACGCCCUGGGUUAACCGGUUAACGCAGGAAAAAAUACACUUUCUGGCAAAACGCAACAGUGUUAACCGGUUAACGCCCUGGGUUAACCGGUUAACGCAGGCAAAACAGCACAUUUUCACAAAUUAUAACAGUGUUAACCGGUUAACACCCUGGGUUAACCGGUUAACGCAGGCAAAACAGCAGUCCCUGCGCUAACACAAGGCAGAAUGCAGAGUUCUCCGCAUUUUCGCCGUUGGAGGACUUCCGGACCUCCGAUUCCAAUUCCGUAAAAAGCUAUACGUUCGGAAAUUCACAACUAACCCAAACACAUAUUCAAUUACAGCCUAAACACAGUUUCAUCCAACGUAAUUUUCCAGCAUUCAUAAUCCCAAUUAGGGUCAAUUCAACGGCUAUCACUACCCAUGACAUGUUAAUCUAUAAUACCCAUCAAACGACGAUAAACCCCCCUUACCUGAGUUAAUCCGGCAAAUCUUUGAGCUUCAAGCCUUUCCGUUCUUCAACCUCUGCUCUUGCUCUUCCCCUUUGCCCUUUUCCACUUUCUAUCGCUUCUCUGCUUUUUCACGUAAAACUCUUUACCAACAAUGAAACCCUUUCUUAUUCCAACUUAUAUAUUUUCCAAAAUAAUAAUAAUAAUAAUCCAAUAAUAUUUCCAAUUAAUUAAUUAAAUUAAUAAAUAUUAUAUUAAUUCAAAUUAAAUAAUUAGCCUUAUUUUAUCGGGGUGUUACAGGGUACAUGUAAAGUACAAGGGAGUGCAGGAAAUAAAUGGUCUCAUUGUCAGGUAGCCCAAGAGAAAGCCAUGUGUGUGAAAUUGUGUCCUAAACUAGAAAGCAUAUAAAAGAUUAUAAUUUAUCUUGAUUCUUGAACGCCCCUUCCAUGUUCGGGUUGAAUAUUUGUCCAAGACUUUUUGCAAGGGUCCUAACAACAAUCUCUAAGUCCAUUCCAAUGUCCAUUACAUGCUAAGGGAUUUAUCUUAUUUUUGUACUUUUUAAGUCUUAUCUAUUUUUUAUGUUCAUUUUAAGAUGAGAUGAGAAUGAUACAACAUGGAAUGUGAAGCGAAAUAAAAGCGAAUGAAUGACGGAAAUUAAAUGUUAGAAGUGAAAUUGUAAAAGCUAGAGGUGAAAAUUAAAGGUUAGAAGCAAAAAUUAAAGAAUUAGAAGUAGGUGUUAAAUGUUAGAUGUUAGAUCAAAGUAGAAAUUAUAAGAGAAUUAACUCUAAAACAAAUAACAAAAUAUUAAUUCUAAACUAUUAAUAAUAUUAAAUCUACACAAUUAAUCAACCAAUGAAAAUCUAACAAAACAAAAAUUAAUCCCAAACAAUUACCAAGUCAAUUCUAAAAUAUUAACAAAUUAUAAAUUCUAAACUGAUUAUCAACCAAUGAAUUCCACUAAUUAAAUUCUAAAACUAAUUCUAAAUCACCUUAAGAUUCUAAUUAAUAUUCAAAAAUUAAUGUAAACUAUCCUAAUUAUUAUCUAAACUAUCCUAAUUAUUAAACCGUAUUUUAAUUAACUAGAGGGGGUAACUAACAAAAAAACAAGAUGACUGGAUCCAACAAACAAAAUCGGGCCUGGAAUUGGAAGAACCAUGCCCAUUCGCAGGGGGAGGUGGGCAGGCCAACGGAGUGGUGCAGCCACAACUCGCUUUGGGCUUUGAAACGCAUGGGGCAAGAAGCCCAAUCCUGAAACCUCACGCCCAGGUUCAAUGCUAAGAAUACCGUAUGCUCAUCCGUGACUCAACAUGGAAGCGAACGAAUCGAUUGACUCCACUUCAAUCUUGCACAUACGCUAGGCAAAACGAAGAAUCACAAACGUGAAUCGAUCCUCUCGUAAAGAAUCUCACGAAAACAACUCCGGAUCCGUGCUUAUACUCGACCUCGAACCGCAAUUAAUCGAGAUCGAAAUUAUAUAACACUCUAUUCUUACGCAGGAAAUGAAAUCAAUUGAAGGAUGAAAUCGUACCCGACUCGUGUUGUGCGGUUCAGAAGACGAAGUGCGUCAUGGCCAAUGAUGCGUUGACGAUGAUUGAAAAUGGAGCGAAGCGUCUCGAUUCUGAAAAGGUAUUAUCGCGUCUCGUUCUUCUCUUUCUUCCUACUUUUUUUUUUAUUAUUUCUUCUUCUCCUAAGAAUCGCUUCU
rnacentral:lncRNA from 1 species